GCAGUGGGCGUGCAGGAGAAGCUGUAGGUCAGAGUGGAGAGGUGGCAGUGGGCGUGCAGGAGAAGCUGUAGGUCAGGAGGCAGAGGUGGCAGUGGGCGUGCAGGAGAAGCUGUAGGUCGGGAGGUAGAGGUGGCAGUGGGCGUGCAGGAGAAGCUGUAGGUCGGGAGGUAGAGGUGGCAGUGGGCGUGCAGGAGAAGCUGUAGGUCGG
rnacentral:lncRNA from 1 species